ACGCAUUUGAUGAAGGCGACUGAUGAUUUCAGGAGACACAAGAUGACCUUGCGCGUGGUGAUUGGAUUUUUACUGUCAUUUUCUCGCAGAAGGCACAGAUUGGAUCAUUACUCUGAACAGCAUCACAAGCUUGCAAGAAACACAAUCCUUUUAAAUAAACAAAUUUUUUAUCUGUGGAAUCAGAUUAACCAUUAGAUGUUUUCACAGAAGUAC
rnacentral:pre_miRNA from 1 species